GAGAAAAUCUGGAAAGGGGAAGGGAAGAAAAUAAGCCACCUGACUCCUCCCUGAGCCCCAGACAGCCCAUGAACUGCCUUCCUGGGAAUGGUAGGAUGGGGUGGACUCUGGAUUGCUCCCUCUGGAUGCGUGGCUCUCCCCUCAGGAACUGCAGGAACUCCUGGUGCCGCCUGGGCCGAUGGAUUGGACGCCCCAGCCCCUCCGUUCCUGCCCAGCCACUGGGGCCGUGUCCAGUGGUGGCACUGCCAGCCCUGCAGUGGGAUGUAGCCUGGAAACUGCACAGAGCUGAGCCAAGGGAUUUAAAGGGACC